CCUACGGGAGGCAGCAGUGGGGAAUAUUGGGCAAUGGGCGCAAGCCUGACCCAGCAAUGCCGCGUGAAGGAAGAAGGCUUUCGGGUUGUAAACUUCUGUGACAGGGGAAGAGCAGAAGACGGUACCCUGAACACAAGCUACGGCUAACUACGUGCCAGCAGCCGCGGUAAGACGUAGGUGGCAAGCGUUGUACGGAUUUAGUGGGGGGAAAGGGCGGGUAGCCGGGAAGGCAAGUCAGAUGUGAAAUCCGGAGGCUCAACCUCCGAAUUGCAUUUGAAACUGUCUAUCUUGAGUACUGGAGAGGCAGACGGAAUUCCAUGUGUAGCGGUGAAAUGCGUAGAUAUAAGGAGGAACACCAGUGGCGAAGGCGGUCUGCUGGAAAGCAACUGACGGUGAGGCGCGAAAGCGUGGGGAGCAAACAGGAUUAGAUACCCGAGUAGUC
rnacentral:rRNA from 1 species